UCUUACUGUUGACGUGAUCCGCCU
rnacentral:piRNA from 1 species